UACGUAGGGGGCAAGCGUUGUCCGGAAUCAUUGGGCGUAAAGAGCGUGUAGGCGGCUCGGUAAGUCCGCUCUGAAAGCCCGGGGCUCAACCCCGGGAGGCGGGCGGAUACUGUCGGGCUAGGGUCCGGAAGAGGCGAGUGGAAUUCCUGGUGUAGCGGUGAAAUGCGCAGAUAUCAGGAGGAACACCAAUGGCGAAGGCAGCUCGCUGGGACGGUACUGACGCUGAGACGCGAAAGCGUGGGGAGCAAACAGG
rnacentral:rRNA from 1 species